GAUGAACGCUGACAGAAUGCUUAACACAUGCAAGUCGAUUCGAUUUACCUUCGGGUAUUGAGGAUGGCGGACGGGUGAGUAACGCGUAAGGAACUUGCCUCUUGGUCUGGGACAACUGUUGGAAACGACAGCUAAUACCGGAUAUUAUGAGAUUCUCGCAUGGGAAACUUAUGAAAGCUAUAUGCGCCAAGAGAGGGCCUUGCGUUCCAUUAGCUAGUUGGUGGGGUAACGGCCCACCAAGGCGACGAUGGAUAGCCGGCCUGAGAGGGUGAACGGCCACAAGGGGACUGAGACACGGCCCUUACUCCUACGGGAGGCAGCAGUGGGGAAUAUUGGACAAUGGANCAAAAGUCUGAUCCAGCAAUUCUGUGUGCACGAUGAAGGUCUUCGGAUUGUAAAGUGCUUUCAGUUGGGAAGAAGAAAGUGACGGUACCAACAGAAGAAGCGACGGCUAAAUACGUGCCAGCAGCCGCGGUAAUACGUAUGUCGCAAGCGUUAUCCGGAUUUAUUGGGCGUAAAGCGCGUCUAGGCGGAAAAAUAAGUCUGAUGUUAAAAUGCGGGGCUCAACUCCGUAUUGCGUUGGAAACUGUUUUUCUAGAGUACUGGAGAGGUGGGCGGAACUACAAGUGUAGAGGUGAAAUUCGUAGAUAUUUGUAGGAAUGNCGAUGGAGAA
rnacentral:rRNA from 1 species